rnacentral:lncRNA from 1 species
GUGUUUGCAUGUAUGGUAUGGGCCAAAACCUAGUCUAAAGUGUUCACUACUUAUGUGAAUUGUGAAUAUAAAUAAUAAAGACUUUUUCGUAAAAAUGUGCAUGUGAAAGUUGAAAGAAAGUGUACUGUAGAUGUGCUUAUUAAGCCUUUCCAGCUCUUAAGCUUCUCCUUCUUCCUUGAGUCAACCCUAAUCUUGCUAGUUCAGUU